rnacentral:rRNA from 1 species
UGGAGUUCAGACGUGUGCUCUUCCGAUCUAGCGGCAAGCCAUGCUUAUGGGCAAUGGCAGCGAUCUCAUCCAUAUCGGGAAUAUCGCUGUUCGGAUUACCCAAGGUUUCCAGAUAGAUGGCUUUGGUAUUGUCCUGAAUGGCUUUUUCCACUUCGCCCAAAUCAUGUACGUUGACGAAAGUAGUGGAAAUGCCAUACUGCGGAAGCGUGUGUUCCAGCAGAUUAUAGCUUCCGCCAUAAAUCGUUUUUUGCGCCACGAUGUGAUCCCCCGCCUGAGCCAAUGCCUGAACAGUAUAAGUAAUUGCCGCAGCGCCGGAGGCCGUGGCCAGCGCCGCCACACCGCCCUCCAGCGCUGCGAUGCGCUGUUCAAACACAUCUUGGGUCGAGUUCGUCAGGCGGCCGUAUAUAUUGCCGGCAUCCGCCAAACCGAAACGCGCCGCCGCAUGGGCGCAAUCAUGAAACACAUAGGAUGUAGUUUGAUAAAUAGGCACUGCACGGGCAUCCGUGGCCGGAUCUGGCUGUUCCUGUCCCGCAUGCAGUUGAAUCGUUUCAAAAUGAUAUUGGCUUUGAUAUGUAUACAUCUGUAAAACCCCUUUCUAAUAAAAAAUAUCUCUGUUAAUUUUGCGGCAUGGCCGCAUUUUUUAUCAUAAGGCCCGCCCGAAUGCUUUUGCGUAUGCUUACUGCAUCGCUCCGCUGUUUCCUAUAACAGGCCGUCGCUCACGAAUGGACACAUUCGCUUUUUUCAAGCAGAAGACGGCAUACGAGAUAAAGGAAUGUGACUGGAGUUCAGACGUGUGCUCUUCCGAUCUAUGUUAGCUUAGAAGCAGCUAUUCAUUCAAAGAGUGCGUAAUAGCUCACUAGUCGAGUGACCCUGCGCCGAAAAUGUACCGGGGCUAAAACAUAUUACCGAAGCUGUGGAUACCUAUUAUAGGUAUGGUAGGAGAGCGUUCUAUGUGUGAAGAAGGUGUACCGUGAGGAGCGCUGGAACGCAUAGAAGUGAGAAUGCCGGUAUGAGUAGCGAAAGACAGGUGAGAAUCCUGUCCACCGUAAGACUAAGGUUUCCAGGGGAAGGCUCGUCCGCCCUGGGUUAGUCGGGACCUAAGGAGAGACCGAAAGGUGUAUCCGAUGGACAACAGGUUGAUAUUCCUGUACUAGAGUAUAUAGUGAUGGAGGGACGCAGUAGGCUAACUAAACCAGACGAUUGGAAGUGUCUGGCCAAGCAGUGAGGUGUGAUAUGAGUCAAAUGCUUAUAUCUAUAACAUUGAGCUGUGAUGGGGAGCGAAGUUUAGUAGCGAAGUUAGUGAUGUCACACUGCCGAGAAAAACUUCUAGCGUUAAUUAUACUCUACCCGUACCGCAAACCGACACAGGUAGUCGAGGCGAGUAGCCUCAGGUGAGCGAGAGAACUCUCGUUAAGGAACUCGGCAAAAUGGCCCCGUAACUUCGGGAGAAGGGGCGCUGACUUAUGGUCAGCCGCAGUGAAUAGGCCCAAGCAACUGUUUAGCAAAAACACAGCUCUCUGCUAAAUCGAAAGAUGACGUAUAGGGGGUGACGCCUGCCCGGUGCUGGAAGGUUAAGGGGAGUGCUUAGCGCAAGCGAAGGUGCGAACUUAAGCCCCAGUAAACGGCGGCCGUAACUAUAACGGUCCUAAGGUAGCGAAAUUCCUUGUCAGGUAAGUUCUG